AACGAACGCUGGCGGCAGGCCUAAAACAUGCAAGUCGAACGAUCUAGCAAUAGAUAGUGGCGCACGGGUGGGUAACACGUGGGAAUAUCCCUUUCACUACGGAACAACGUCGGGAAACUGACGCUAAUACCGUAUAAUGUCUCCGGACCAAAGAUUUAUCGGUGAAAGAUUAGCCCGCGUCUGAUUAGCUAGCUGGUGAGGUAACGGCUCACCAAGGCAACGAUCAGUAGCUGGUCUGAGAGGAUGUUCAGCCACACUGGAACUGAGACACGGUCCAGACUCCUACGGGAGGCAGCAGUUAGGAAUAUUGGACAAUGGGGGCAACCCUGAUCCAGCCAUGCCGCGUGUGUGACGAAGGCCUUAGGGUUGUAAAGCACUUUCGUCUACGAAGAUAAUGACAGUAGUAGAAGAAGAAGCUCCGGCUAAAUUCGUGCCAGCAGCCGCGGUAA
rnacentral:rRNA from 1 species